UGGGGAUGCUCUUAAUAUCUUAC
rnacentral:siRNA from 1 species